CGAUACGGCCGUAUGCAAUGUUUCCCGAUUGUGAAAAAUUCAAGGGGUAAAAAGGAUGAGGAACUUGUAAUCGGACAGAAUUAAUUCCAUUCAUUCGCGUUCAAUUUUGCAGCGGUCUGAAAUCGGCGUGCGUUUUGAAUGGGUAACGCCGAGGAUUCCCGAAAGGUAUGAAAUCAGGUUUCCCUAAUUGGUUAUGAUAUCGGUAUUAGGUUUUGAAUCGAGUGGAAUAUGUUGUGUUUGUUAUCCAAUUACGUUGACAGUAUGCACGUGUUCCACCUUGGUAAGUAAUUGCAGGCUAUCUUCUGUGUUUUAUAAUUUGGACAAGAUGUUGUUUCCAUCCCAAUUGUUUGCAAUUGCUUGUAUGUCCACAGAAUAACCUGACCACCGUGGUGUUCUUGCUAGAAGAGAUUAUACGGAACCAUCAAAUUAACAUGCUUCUCAUAUCUUUGAUGAUCACAUUAAUUUUCCCGCAAAACCGCAAGCGUAAACGGUGGGAUCGGCUAGGUCAGUCUGUGGUUCUAGAUUCUAUCCCGGAUCAUGUGCGUCAACUAGAUAGGCUUGUGCGUGUGACAGACAUAGCUUGUGUGGAUAAUUUGAGAAUGGAUAGGAAUACCUUUGGGCGUCUAUGUCGUAUUCUCCGUGA